CUAACUUACUAUGUUUGUGGGACUUUACAGAAAUUUAAAGUUAAGGUAAGAAUUCUUUAAUUUUCUAGGGGACGAUAAGACCCUAGAAGCUUAACAAAGGGUGUUUAGUUUGUGUUAAAAGUUUGUUUGUUUUACUGGGGCGGUAAAAAUAAUUAAGCUAUUUAGUAAGCGGAGGAUCCUUCAGAUAAAGAGAAAAUGGGAAAGUUACUCUAGGGAUAACAGUGCAAUAUUUUUGAAGAGGCCUUAUCGAUGAAUAUGUUUGCAACCUCGAUGUUGAAUUAAGAUGUCUUUAUGAAGCAGAAAGCAUAGAAGAAGGUUUGUUCAACCUUUAAAUUCUUACAUGA
rnacentral:rRNA from 1 species